rnacentral:rRNA from 1 species
UCUGCACACAGGUGCUGCAUGGCUGUCGUCAGCUCGUGCCGUGAGGUGUUGGGUUAAGUCCCGCAACGAGCGCAACCCUCAUCCUUAGUUGCCAUCAUUAAGUUGGGCACCCUAAGGAAACUGCCGCAGUUAAUGCGGAGGAAGGUGGGAUGACGUCAAGUCCUCAUGGCCCUUAUGUCCAGGGCUACACACGUGCUACAAUGGGUGGGAACAAAGGGUCGCCAACCCGCGAGGGGGAGCCAAUCCCAUAAAGCCAGUCGUAGUCCGGAUCGUAGUCUGCAACUCGACUACGUGAAGUCGGAAUCCGUAGUAAUCGCGUUUCAACAGAACGCGGUGAAUACGUCCCUGCUCCUU